rnacentral:rRNA from 1 species
GCCAGACUCCUACGGGAGGCAGCAGUGGGGGAUAUUGCACAAUGGGGGGAACCCUGAUGCAGCGACGCCGCGUGGGUGAAGAAGCGCCUCGGCGCGUAAAGCCCUAUCGGCAGGGAAGAAGGAGGACGGUACCUGACUAAGAAGCCCCGGCUAACUACGUGCCAGCAGCCGCGGUAAUACGUAGGGGGCAAGCGUUAUCCGGAUUUACUGGGUGUAAAGGGGGCGCAGACGGCAGCGCAAGCCAGGAGUGAAAGCCCGGGGCCCAACCCCGGGACUGCUCUUGGAACUGCGUGGCUGGAGUGCAGGAGGGGCAGGCGGAAUUCCUGGUGUAGCGGUGAAAUGCGUAGAUAUCAGGAGGAACACCGGUGGCGAAGGCGGCCUGCUGGACUGCAACUGACGUUGAGGCCCGAAAGCGUGGGGAGCAAACAGGAUUAGAUACCCGAGUA